rnacentral:rRNA from 1 species
CUUUGCUGGCGACCGGCGCACGGGUGAGUAACACGUAUCCAACCUGCCGAUAACUCCGGAAUAGCCUUUCGAAAGAAAGAUUAAUACCGGAUGGCAUACGAAUAUCGCAUGAUAUUUUUAUUAAAGAAUUUCGGUUAUCGAUGGGGAUGCGUUCCAUUAGUUUGUUGGCGGGGUAACGGCCCACCAAGACUACGAUGGAUAGGGGUUCUGAGAGGAAGGUCCCCCACAUUGGAACUGAGACACGGUCCAAACUCCUACGGGAGGCAGCAUG